CGCCUCUUGUACCCAUAAGAGGUCUAGCCUGCCCAGUGACUUUGUUCAACGGCCGCGGUACACUAACCGUGCAAAGGUAGCACAAUCACUUGUCUCUUAAAUCGGGACCUGUAUGAAUGGCAUCACGAGGAUUUAACUGUCUCCCUUCAUUAAUCAGUGAAACUAAUCUCCCUGUGAAAAAGCAGGGUUAUUUAUACAAGACGAGAAGACCCUAUGGAGCUUAAAACUAAUAACAUUUGCUCUAUCCUCCCUAGUUACCAUCCAGCAUUAUGCUUAUACGUUUUCGGUUGGGGUGACCAUGGAAAAAAGCCUAACUUCCAUGCUGUUAAAUACAAGAACCUCAAUUCUACAAAUCAACAUACUGACACAAUUGACCCAAAUACUUGAUCAACGAACCAAGUUACCCUAGGGAUAACAGCGCUAUCCACUUCAAGAGUACAUAUCAACAAGUGGGCUUACGACCUCGAUGUUGGAUCAGGAUCUCCCAGUGGUGCAGCCGCUACUAAAGGUUUGUUUGUUCAACAAUUAAAAUCC
rnacentral:rRNA from 1 species